rnacentral:rRNA from 1 species
AGUGAACGCUGGCGGUAGGCCUAACACAUGCAAGUCGAACGGCAGCACAGUAAGAGCUUGCUCUUACGGGUGGCGAGUGGCGGACGGGUGAGGAAUACAUCGGAAUCUACUUUUUCGUGGGGGAUAACGUAGGGAAACUUACGCUAAUACCGCAUACGACCUACGGGUGAAAGCAGGGGAUCUUCGGACCUUGCGCGAUUGAAUGAGCCGAUGUCGGAUUAGCUAGUUGGCGGGGUAAAGGCCCACCAAGGCGACGAUCCGUAGCUGGUCUGAGAGGAUGAUCAGCCACACUGGAACUGAGACACGGUCCAGACUCCUACGGGAGGCAGCAGUGGGGAAUAUUGGACAAUGGGCGCAAGCCUGAUCCAGCCAUACCGCGUGGGUGAAGAAGGCCUUCGGUUUGUAAAGCCCUUUUGUUAGGAAAGAAAAGCAGCAGGUUAAUACCCCGCUGUUCUGACGGUACCCAAAGAAUAAGCACCGGCUAACUUCGUG